rnacentral:misc_RNA from 1 species
GGAAGUAAAAGUCGUAACAAGAUCUCCGUAGGUGAACCUGCGGAGGGAUCAUUACAGAGUUCUCGCCCUCGCGGGUAGAUCUCCCACCCACUGUUAUCGUUACUGUGUUGCUUUGGCGGGCCGCCGGGCCCCGCUCGGCCGCCGGCUCCGGCUGGCGCGCGCCCGCCAGAGGCCCAGCAAACUCUGAAUGUUAGUGUCGUCUGAGUACUAUAUAAUAGUUAAAACUUUCAACGACGGAUCUCUUGGUUCUG